UACGUAGGGCGCAAGCGUUAUCCGGAAUUAUUGGGCGUAAAGGGCUCGUAGGCGGUUUGUCGCGUCUGCCGUGAAAGUCCGGGGCUCAACUCCGGAUCUGCGGUGGGUACGGGCAGACUAGAGUGAUGUAGGGGAGACUGGAAUUCCUGGUGUAGCGGUGAAAUGCGCAGAUAUCAGGAGGAACACCGAUGGCGAAGGCAGGUCUCUGGGCAGUAACUGACGCUGAGGAGCGAAAGCGUGGGGAGCGAACAGG
rnacentral:rRNA from 1 species